UACGUAGGGUGCAAGCGUUGUCCGGAAUUAUUGGGCGUAAAGAGCUCGUAGGCGGUCUGUCGCGUCGGCUGUGAAAUCCCGAGGCUCAACCUCGGGUCUGCAGUCGAUACGGGCAAACUAGAGUAUUGCAGGGGAGACUGGAAUUCCUGGUGUAGCGGUGAAAUGCGCAGAUAUCAGGAGGAACACCGAUGGCGAAGGCAGGUCUCUGGGCAUUAACUGACGCUGAGGAGCGAAAGCGUGGGGAGCGAACAGG
rnacentral:rRNA from 1 species